GACGAACGCUGGCGGCGUGCUUAACACAUGCAAGUCGAACGGAAAGGCCCUGCUUUUGUGGGGUGCUCGAGUGGCGAACGGGUGAGUAACACGUGAGUAACCUGCCCUUGACUUUGGGAUAACUUCAGGAAACUGGGGCUAAUACCGGAUAGGAGCUCCUGCUGCAUGGUGGGGGUUGGAAAGUUUCGGCGGUUGGGGAUGGACUCGCGGCUUAUCAGCUUGUUGGUGGGGUAGUGGCUUACCAAGGCUUUGACGGGUAGCCGGCCUGGGAGGGUGACCGGCCACAUUGGGACUGAGAUACGGCCCAGACUCCUACGGGAGGCAGCAGUGGGGAAUAUUGCGCGAUGGGCGGAAGCCUGAUGCAGCAACGCCGCGUGCGGGAUGACGGCUUUCGGGUUGUAACCCGCUUUCGCCUGUGACGAAGCGUGAGUGACGGUAAUGGGUAAAGAAGCACCGGCUAACUACGUG
rnacentral:rRNA from 1 species